UCUACGUGCACUGCUGGUUGGCAUUCCUUUUCGAACUCGAAGCGGUCGUCGACGGUCGGUGUCGUGUGCUACAGCUACAGCUCCAGUAGUCAAUCGUGCUGGGUGCUCUCGACAGACCUCAGUAGCUACGCACGCUGCUGCCCGUUUUUUGGUUUUGCAAUGGCUGCUGGCUGUUCCUGUUCUUCACUGGCAUCAGAAUCGAUGGCAUGCGAAUACAAAUAAACGAUCGGAUUCGCUGACUUUUUGGUUCAACAAAUCAAAGAUCGUUUCAAGCAAUAAUUAUGACCCAGACGUGAUUCUUGACUGUGGAGAAAAGGACUAAAGUUAUAUAGAUUAGCUGUUGUCCGUAAAUUGUAUUUUGUUAAUUUGUUGUUGGAGUAAGAAUCAUUUCUGAUGCACGAA